rnacentral:rRNA from 1 species
UGCCUAAUACAUGCAAGUCGAGCGAACAGAGAAGGAGCUUGCUCCUUUGACGUUAGCGGCGGACGGGUGAGUAACACGUGGGCAACCUACCUUAUAGUUUGGGAUAACUCCGGGAAACCGGGGCUAAUACCGAAUAAUCUAUUUUACUUCAUGGUGAAAUACUGAAAGACGGUUUCGGCUGUCGCUAUAAGAUGGGCCCGCGGCGCAUUAGCUAGUUGGUGAGGUAACGGCUCACCAAGGCGACAUGCGUAGCCGACCUGAGAGGGUGAUCGGCCACACUGGGACUGAGGCACGGCCCAGACUCCUACGGGAGGCAGCAGUAGGGAAUCUUCCACAAUGGGCGAAAGCCUGAUGGAGCAACGCCGCGUGAGUGAAGAAGGUUUUCGGAUCGUAAAACUCUGUUGUAAGGGAAGAACAAGUACAGUAGUAACUGGCUGUACCUUGACGGUACCUUAUUCAGAAAGCCACGGGUAACU